rnacentral:rRNA from 1 species
GUGUCAGCAGCCGCGGUAAUACGGAGGGCGCAAGCGUUGUUCGGAAUCACUGGGCGUAAAGCGCGUGUAGGCGGCUUGGUAAGUCGGGUGUGAAAGCCCGGGGCUCAACCCCGGAACUGCAUUCGAAACUGCCUCGCUCGAGUCCCGGAGAGGGUGGUGGAAUUCCCGGUGUAGAGGUGAAAUUCGUAGAUAUCGGGAGGAACACCAGUGGCGAAGGCGGCCACCUGGACGGUGACUGACGCUGAGACGCGAAAGCGUGGGGAGCAAACAGGAUUAGAUACCCUGGUAGUCCACGCCGUAAACUUUGGGUGCUAGGCGUCGCGGGUAUUGACCCCUGCGGUGCCGCAGCUAACGCGUUAAGCACCCCGCCUGGGGAGUACGGUCGCAAGACUAAA